CGACUGCUAAUACCGCAUACGAUCUAACCUCGGCAUCGAGGAUAGAUGAAAGGUGGCCUCUACAUGUAAGCUAUCACUGAAGGAGGGGAUUGCGUCUGAUUAGCUAGUUGGAGGGGUAACGGCCCACCAAGGCGAUGAUCAGUAGCCGGUCUGAGAGGAUGAACGGCCACAUUGGGACUGAGACACGGCCCAGACUCCUACGGGAGGCAGCAUG
rnacentral:rRNA from 1 species